CAAUAGCGUAUAUUAAAGCUGUUGCGGUUAGAAAGCUCGUAGUUGGAUUUCUGUCAAGGACAACUGGUCCGCCCUCCGGGUGAGCACAUAGUUUGGUCUUGACAUCUUGCUGGAAGCUGUUGCUGCACUUGGCUGUGUGGCGCAGUGUUCAGCACUUUCACUUUGAGGAAAUUGGAGUGUUUCAAGCAGGCACAUGCCUUUGGACACAGUAGCAUGGAAUAAUUAGAUUGGGCUUUUGCUCCAAUUUGUCGGUUUCUGGAGCUGAGGUGAGUAUUAAUGGGGAUUGUUGGGGGCAUCCGAAUUUAGCCGUCAGAGGUGAAAUUCUUGGAUCUGCUAAAGACGGACAACUGCGAAAGCGUUUGCCCAGGAUGUUUUCAUUGA
rnacentral:rRNA from 1 species